rnacentral:tRNA from 1 species
CGCGGGGUAGAGCAGCCUGGUAGCUCGUCGGGCUCAUAACCCGGAGGUCGUUGGUUCGAAUCCAGCCCCCGCUA